GAAGCUGCUUCGGCCCCGCCCCCCCAGCCUGCGCGCGCCCCCGCCCUCGCCCCCUCCCCCCAGCGCGCGACCCUCCGGAGAUAGGGGUUUAAAUAAAAUUUGAAUAAAUCCCCUUCCUUAAGCUGGAAGGUGGAAGGAAAGGAUGGAAGGGGGCAGGGAAAGGGGGAGGGGGCAAUUGGGGUGCCUCAGCCCCCCUGGUCCCCCAGCCCCGCGCUGCUUCGGCCCGGGGCCCUGGCCGCCUCUCUCAUCCCUCCAGAGCUCCUUCCUCCUUCCUCCUCUCUUCCCCCACCCCUCCCUCCUCCUUCCCUCCUCCUCCUCCUCCUCUUUACUCCCUCCUUCUCCCAGAGGAACCCCGCCCCCUGCCCCCUCCUUUCCCCACCACCUCCACUUUCCAGGGCGAACACGCGCAGGGCACGACGGAAAUCGUAGUCCUGCGGACGCCGGUGAUACCGUAGGAACAAUGGGACGCUGGGGCCAGCGGGGACUACAAACAAGAUGGCGGAGGGCGUGCCAAGCCGGGAGCCGAGGAUGCCGGGAGUUAUAGUCCGGUUGCCCCGAGGCUCCCCGUUGCAGAGGAUAGAGAAGGAGCGGGAACGAUGACUACAAACAAGAUGGCCUUCUCCCCCGACCCGACCUCCUUCCCAGGCACUCGCACGCCCUCCUGUCCACAACCCUCCGCGUGUGUGGUACCUGACGGGAGUCGCAGUCCAUCUGCUGCCUUCCCGCUGCCAUUUCUACUCGUCAGGAACAAUGGAAAGGUGAAAAGGAAUGAGGACUACAAACAAGAUGGCGGAAGAGGGGCGUACACCUGACUAGCAGUCGGUCUUAUGAGGCUGGACCUAGUGACUUGCCUGUACAAUGAAUAGAAUCAGCAAAAGUGAUGGGACCAUACUUUCAAGAUAAGGCUACAAAAGACUGUGAUUUCCAUCUUGGCACUCUUCUCUGCUUCUCUGAUAAAACAAGAUGUCUUGUUGUGAACUGCCGCAAGGAGAGGUCCACAUGGCAAGAACUGAGAACAACCUCCCACUACAAGCGGGGGAAGGACUGAAGCCUUCAGACCAACAACCCUUGAGGAACUGAAUCCUGCCAACACCGCAUAAGUGGACUUGGAAGCAGAUACCUGUGCCCCUUGAGAUGACUGCACCCUGACAAUGUUUGCAGGCUGCUGAGAGUCUCAGCCUCUGGCCCACAGAAAUGGAAAUGGAAAUAAUGAAUGUUAUUUUAAACUACAA